UUGGGGUGAGGUAGUAGGUUGUAUAGUUUGGGGCUCUGCCCUCCUGUGGAGUAACUAUGCAAUCUACUGUCUUUCCUGA
rfam:Callithrix jacchus chromosome 1, whole genome shotgun sequence